rnacentral:rRNA from 1 species
GACAGAGGUGCCGAGCGUUAGGCGGAAUCACUGGGCUUAAAGCGUGUGUAGGCGGGUCGUUAAGUACCUUGUGAAAUCCCCCGGCUCAACCGGGGAACUGCUGGGUAUACUGGCGAUCUUGAGCGAUCUAGGGGCAGAUGGAACAAGUGGUGGAGCGGUGAAAUGCGCAGAUAUCGGGAGGAACACCGGUGGCGAAGGCGGUUCUCUGGGCCUUACCUGACGCUGAGGAGCGAAAGCGUGGGGAGCGAACAGG